rnacentral:rRNA from 1 species
GACGAACGCUGGCGGCGUGCUUAACACAUGCAAGUCGAACGGUGAAAGCGGAGCUUGCUACGCUGGAUCAGUGGCGAGCGGGUGAGUAACACGUGGGCAACCUGCCCCUGACUUCGGGAUAACUCCUCGAAAGAGGUGCUAAUACCGGAUACGAAUCCUGCAGGCAUCUGCGGGAUUGGAAAGUUUUUCGGUUUGGGAUGGGCCCGCGGCCUAGCAGCUUGUUGGUGAGGUAACGGCUCACCAAGGCUACGACGGGUAACCGGCCUGAGAGGGGGACCGGUCACACUGGGACUGAGCCACGGCCCAGACUCCUACGGUAGGCAGCAGUGGGGAAUAUUUCGCAAUGGGCGAAAGCCUGACGCAGCGACGCCGCGUGAGGGAUGAAGGUCUUCGGAUCGUAAACCUCUUUCAGUAGGGACGAAGCGAAAGUGACGGUACCUAAAGAAGAAGCACCGGCUAACUACGUGCCAGCCGCCGCUGUAA